rnacentral:rRNA from 1 species
AUUGAACGCUGGCGGCAUGCUUUACACAUGCAAGUCGAACGGUAACAGGUUAAGCUGACGAGUGGCGAACGGGUGAGUAAUGUAUCGGAACGUGCCCAGUCGUGGGGGAUAACGUAGCGAAAGCUACGCUAAUACCGCAUACGAUCUCUGGAUGAAAGCGGGGGACCGCAAGGCCUCGCGCGAUUGGAGCGGCCGCUAUCAGAUUAGGUAGUUGGUGGGGUAAAGGCCCACCAAGCCAACGAUCUGUAGCUGGUCUGAGAGGACGACCAGCCACCCUGAGACGGAGACACGGCCCAGGCUCCUAUGGGAGGCAGCAGUGGGGAAUUUUGGAGAAUGGGGGCAACCCUGAUCCAGCAAUGCCGCGUGCAGGAAGAAGGCCUUCGGGUUGUAAACUGCUUUUGUACGGAACGAAAAGGCUCUGGUUAAUACCUGGGGCUCAUGACGGUACCGUAAGAAUAAGCACCGGCUAACUACGUGCCAGCCGCCGCGGUAA